UCGUGAUAUCUGAUAUCUUUAUUGAUUUGAUCACAAGGAACUGGCAGAAACUUAAAUAUACAAGACAAUAUCCUGAAAAACAUGUUGUGUAUGUGAUUAUUCAGUGAAAACAAAACUGUUAACGUUAAAUCGCACUCUGUAAACCUCGUAAACAUACAAGAAACAGGCGAAAUAUUUCGCGGAGAAAAAGCGCCCGUGGAAUUAGGCCCUUAAGUUUUGCAGCAGUGAGAUUUAUGUUUGUGACGUCAUCUGAAAUGUUGCCAGGGAACGCUGACCAAGUUGUCAAGGGCAACUGUCAUUUUUGUGACUAUUAAUACUUUUAAUAAUAGUAACACAUCUAUAUAGCGAUUAAUAGCCGCUAUUUUUGAAGUGGUCUAUUUAUAGCCGUUGAAAAGCUUGACAUUUUUUCCCUGACAACUUGGACAGCAUCACCUAGUAACAUUAUUAGAGGAUGUCACAAUUCACAAACAUUGCUUUGAAAUACAAAACGUACUCAAAACAAUGAAACGAAAUAAAACGAUUGAUGUGUGUAUAUGUAUGUAACAUAAAAAAACCAACAGUUUUGCUUUGAAAGCAAUCAUGAAGUUUGCACGUUUCACAAGUUUUACUUACACACAUUACAAGGUUUCACAGUAAUAUCCUCAUUAUAUACUUCUGCACUUCCUGCCAUCAUAUGCUACCAUGCACCUUCCGUCUCAUAUUACACUCCAUAUAGAUGGUUUGUCAUUAAUUAAGUGUCAUUAAUUAAGUGUGAUUAACCUUAUGCCGUCAUGUGAUCUUCGUAUGGUAUAUAUAGCAGUUAUCAUAUGCUUGCGUUCCCUUUCUCCUUCAACUCUUAGCAAGUUCACUAUUUGGCAAGUGGGAAAGUUUGUAGACCUUUCGGCACGUAUAUAAAUAUGUCUGACACUGAGAUUGAAAGUGUUUUAACAAUGUUUUGUGUGGCUGGCAAGAAAAUUUACUAUGGGAAAAAAUUUUCCAUGUUUGGGGAUUUCUCGCUCAAAAUAUUUGGGAAGCUAAAGCUGAAAGAAGAAGAAAAUUCUGCUGGGCAUUGGGUUUGCUGUUGUGGUUCAGCCUCCGAAGAUGAGGAAACUACGAUCAGACUUAUCGUAUUGAACGUCAAUUGUUUCGACUCGAAGCAACGUUUCAUUGACUCAUUAAGAGCUGCUUAUGGAGAAGGAACGUUCUUAUUGGG